rnacentral:rRNA from 1 species
AACGCACCUUGCGCUCCUUGGUAUUCCGAGGAGCAUGCCUGUUUGAGUGUCAUGGAAUUCUCAACCCUCUUAUCCUUGUGGUGAGAUUGGGUUGGAUUUGGAGGUUUAUGCUGGCUUGUAAUGAGUCGGCUCCUCUUGAAUGCAUUAGCUUGGACCUUUGCGGACCAGCUUUUCGGUGUGAUAAUUGUCUACGCCGUGGGCUGUGAUGCUGUUUAACAUGCUUCGGCGUGUUGGGGUUCUGCUUCUAAUGGUCCCUUUGGUGGGACAACUUACUUUGACCUCUGACCUCAAAUCAGGUAGGAUUACCCGCUGAACUUAA